rnacentral:lncRNA from 1 species
AAACAUCAGGUUUACUACAUACAUAGUAUGUAAAUAUUUUGGCCAGUAUCUUGUAACUGAUAUUUUGGAAUGAGCAAUUCUGUUUCAUUGAGGCAGAUAGCAAUACGUACAUAUACAUAAUACACUGAUGCUGAAUUUGCAGUAGGUUAUUUUUUGUCCACUGCUUGCUGUUACAUGGAUGCAUGUAUUUUGCCUCCCCCUUGGGCACAUCCUUUCUGUGCCUCCAUUUAUCAAGAUGGUAGGUAAGCACCUUGUGUGUGCACAAUUAAAUAGUGUGCACACACCUAUCCCAGAGAAAGAAGACAGCAAGAAUUCCCUUUGGUUAAGUGGAGCAGCUGAGCAGCCAUACUCAGAUGUGAAUUUAACCAGAAUGUUCUGCUCACAACUCUCCAUUGCUUCCUACUAUUUCUACUGGGGAAAGAGGAUGAAUGUCAUUAAAGCUUCUUUGUUGGCACCUGUCAGUGUCAAGGUGGGUAUACUUUUGCUAUGUUUGAUUUCUUAAAGUAUGUUUUUGGGCAUUAUCUUUUUCAAACCCAUUUCAGCCAUAAAGUACGAAUUCGUUCAUUCUUAUCAUUUAAAGAAAUUAAAAUACUACAGAUAAUACUAGAAUCCCUAUUGAGCAACAAACCUUUUGGAGGUAAUUACUGUUAUCGUUUUGGAGUGUGGCUUUCCAAACCUUUUUCUGUGCAUUUAUACACAUAUAUAUGUACCUAUAAGGAUAUAGUUUUAUUGUUUUUUUUUUUACAUGAGUGAUAUUCUUUACAUGUUGUCUGCAGAUCCUUAUGUCUGUGUAUACAUAUAUACACACACAUACAUAUAUAUAAAUAUACAUAUGUGUAUGGGUAUAUUCCAUAAUAUCUGUAUAACAUAGAUUAUUUCUCUUAUUUGUGACAGUUUUUCACUGUCAUGACAGUGUUGCCUUGAACAUUCUUGUAAAUGCUGUUUUGGGACAUAGUUUGAAAUUUUCCAGGAAAAAUACAGAAGAAUUUAAUUAUUAGGCCAUAGGGAAACAAUUCUUCCUUUUAUGUCCUCCUAAUAAUUUUCUGUAUAUGUGUUUUAGAAAGAGUCCUAACUAAUGGCUGGGAUAUCAAAAGAAGUUCUUUUCUUGGUAUUUUAAAACCCAGGUUUUUAUGCUGCUCUCAUUUGAAUUCAGUCUUUUGAAUAAAUUUAGAAUUGAUAGGGAUAAGCAAAAUAAGUUCAAAGUAGUAGACAUACAUAGAUCAAAACCAUUAAGCUUUUGGGAAUAGGUGCUGUUUCAGUGGUGGGGAAAUUGUCAUUUGGGAAGAUUAUCUCUCUUAAUCAUGAAGUUCUUUUUUCCAACUCUUUCUCUUCUUCCUUUGGAAUUAUGACAACUGGAUUCACAGGUGCUAUGAAAAUAUCUUCUCACAUUACACAUCUUGUUUAAUACUAGUUUGAAAAAUCCUGGAAAAUAACAGGUUUUGAUACUGUACCCUUGCUUUAAAAAAAAAGUAUUGGUUUGGUGAAAUCUGGAAUACCCACUUCUCAUGAGAGUGUCUAGUUCAUUUUUUUAGGUAUGAAAACUUUUAUUAAAAGGACAUUCUUUACAUGAAUAACUAAUAUCAGAAAUGAAAGGGAGGGGCCAUCACUAAAGAGCCCAUAGACUUCAGACAUUAAAAGAGUAACAAAUACUGUGAACAACUCUUUGCCCACAGAUCUGAUAACCUAGAUGAAACAGACCAGUUGCUUAGAAGACACAAUCUUGCAAAACUCAAAAAAAGCAAAAAUAGACAAUUUGAAUAAGCCUGUAUCUGUUAAGGAAAUCAAAUCAAUAAUUAUUAACCUUCAAAAACAAAAAGCACCAGACCUAGAUGGGUUCACUGUAUCCCAGGAUACAGGAAGAAAUUAUACCAAUUCUCUAUGAUCUCUUUCAGAAGAUAGAAGCAAAGGGAAUACUCCCUAGCUCAUACUAUGAGGCCAGCAUUAUCCUGACAUCAAAACCAAAGACAUUACAAGAAAAGAAAACUGCAGGCUACAGAUUUCUCAUGAAUAUCUAUGCAAAAUUCCCUAACAAAAUAUUAGCAAAUUGAAUCCAACAAUGUAUAAAAAGAAUUAUGCACCAUGAACAAGUGGGAGGGUAUGCAACAUUCAAAAAUUAGUUAAUGUUGUCCUGCACAUCAACAGGCUAAAGGAAAAAAAAAACACAUCAUAUAAACAGAUGUAGAAGAAGCAUUUGACAAAAUCUAAUACUCAUUCAUGAUAAAAACCCUCAGUAAACUAGGAAUAGAGGGAAACUUCCUUAACUGGAUAAAGUGUAACUACAAAAAGCCUACAGCUAACAUAUUUCAUCAUGUUUAAUGUUCCUACUAAGAUCAGAAACAGGCAAAGAUGUCCCUUCUCACCAUUGCUUUUGAAAAUUGUAUUGGAAAUCCUGGAUAAUGCAAUAAGAAAGUAAAGGAAAGAAAAGAUACACAGAUUUGGUCAGAAGAAAUAAAACUGUCUUUGUUUGCAGAAGACAGUACUGUUUAUAUAGAAAAUCCAAAAGAAACUCCUGGAGCUAAUAAGUAUAGCAGGGUUGCAGGAUACAGGGUUAAUAUAUAAAAGUCAAUUGCUUUCCUAUGCACCAGCAAUAAACAAGUGGAACUUAAAAACAAUAUCAUUUAUAUUACCACCCCUAAAAAUAAAAUACGUAAGUAUAAAUCUAACAAAAUGUGUGCAAGAUCCAUACGAAGAAAACUAUGAAACUGUGAUGAAAGAAAGAACUACAUAAAUGCAGAGAUAGUCCAUGUUCGUGGAUAGGAAGAGUCGAUAUUAUCAAGAUGUCAGUUCUUCCUGGGGCGCCUGGGUGGCGGAGUCGGUUAAGCGUCCGACUUCAGCCAGGUCACGAUCUCGCGGUCCGUGAGUUCGAGCCCCGCGUCAGGCUCUGGGCUGAUGGCUCAGAGCCUGUUUCCGAUUCUGUGUCUCCCUCUCUCUCUGCCCCUCCCCUGUUCAUGCUCUGUCUCUCUCUGUCCCAAAAAUAAAUAAACGUUGAAAAAAAAAAAUUAAAAAAAAAAAAAAAGAUGUCAGUUCUUCCCAAAUUGAUCUAUAGAUUCAAUGCAAUCCAAAUCAAAAUCUCAGCAAGUUUUCUUGUGGAUAUUGACAAACUGAUUCUAAAGUUUAUAUGGAGAAGCAAGAGACCCAAGAUAGCCAACACAGUACUGAAGAAGAACAAAAUCGAAGGACUGAUAUUACCUGACUUCAUGACUUACUUACAGAGCUACAAUAAUCAAGACGAAAUAGACAACAGGCAGAAAUAAAUGGAACAUAAAUGAGAUCCCAAAAUAGACCCACAUAAAUAUAAUUAGCUGAUCUUUGACGAAGGAGGAAAGGCAAUACAGUGGAGCAAAGAUGGUAUUUUCAACAAAUGGUGUCAGAACACCUGGACUUCGACAUGCAAAUAAGUUGAAUCUAGACAUAGACCUUACACCCUUUACAAAAAUUAACUCAAAAUGGGUCAUAGAACUAAAUGUAAAACAUAAAACUAUAAAACUCUUAGAAGAUAACAUAGGAGGGGUGCCUGGGUGGCUUAGUCAGCUAAGCGUCUGACUUUAGCUCAGGUCACAAUCUCAUGGUUCAUGGGUUUGAGCCCCAUCGGGCUCUGUGCAGAUAUCUCAGAGCUGCUUCGGAUUCUGUAUCUCCCUCUCUCUUCGCCCCUCCCAUGCUCACACUGUCUCUUCAGAUAAACAUCUAAAAAAAAAAAGAAGGAGAAGAAAGUAGAAGAAAGAAGGAGGAGGAGAAGGAGGAAGGAGUGAGGAAGCACGAAGAAGAAGAAGAAAGGAGGAGGAGGAGAAGGAGGAAGGAAGAAGGAGAAGAAGAAAACAUAGGAGUAAACCUAAAUGACUUUGAGUUUGGUGAUGACUUUUUAGAUCACCAGAGACACAACCCAUGAAAGAAAGAAUUGAUAAGUUGGACGUCAUUCAAAUUAAAUUUUCUGCUCUAUGAGCGACACUGUCAAGAAAAUUAAAAGGCAUGCCACAGACUGGGAGAAAAUAUGUGCAAAAUGCAUAUCUGAUAAAAGACUAUUCUCCAAAAUACUCAAAGAACUCUUAAAAUUCAAGAAUAAGAAAACAACCAAUUUAAAAUUGGGCCAAAGACUUUACCAGGUAGGUCACCAAAAAGAUAUACAGUUGGAAAAUAAGCAUAUGAAAAGAUGCUUCAUAUCAUAUGUCAUCAGGGCAAUGCAAAUGAAAACAACAAGGUAUCCUCACAUACCGUUAGAAUGGCCAAAAUCUAGAUCACUGACCCCACCAAAUGCUGAUGAGGAUGUGGAGCAACAGGAACUCUUCUUUGUUGCUGGUGAGAAUGCAACAUGAUGCAGCCACUUUGGAAACCAGUUUGGCAGUUUCUUAGAAAAGUAAACAUACUUUUACCAUAUAACUCACAGUCAUGCUCCUUGGUAUUUACUCAAAGGACUCAAAUACUAUGGCCAAUAAUAAUCUGAGCAUGGAUAUUUAUAGUAGCUCUAUUCAUAAUUGCCAAAAUUUGGAAGUAAUCAAGAUGUCUUUCAGUAGGUGAAUGGAUAAAUAAACUGUGGUACAUCCAAACAAUGGAAUAUUAUUCAACACUAAAAAGAAAUGAGCUGUGAAGCCAUCAAAAGUCAUGGAGGAAACAUAAAUGCAUAUUAAUAAAUGAAAGAAGAAUCAUAUGCUACACACUAUGUAAUUCCAACUAUAUGAUGUUCUGGAAAAGGUAACAAUGUGAGGACAGUAGAGAUUAAUGGUUGCUAGGGUUUAGUGAGCAGAGAGGUUUUCCAGGGCAAUGAAACUAUUCUGUAUGAUACUAUAAUGAUGGAUACAUGUCAUUUACACCUGUCAAAACUCAUAGAAUGCACAACACCAAGGAUGAAACCUAAUGAACACUAUGGAUUUUAAGUGAUGCUGAUGUAUCAAUGUAGUUUUAUCAGUUUGUAGCAAAUGUACCACUCUGAUGGGGAUGUUAAUAAUGAGGGGGCCUGUGCUUUUAUGAAGGCAAGUAAUUUUAUGGGAAAUCUGUGUAUCUUCUGCUCAGUUUUGCUAUGAACCCAACAUGACUAAGUCGGUUGUUUAAAAAAAAAAAAGUACUUCGGGGAGGUUUUAUUUUUCAUAAGAGUCUUCUGCUUUCACUACAUGUGAAUCUGAGUGUGUCAGUAAGGCCUCUACAGGAUUUUGAAAGGCAUUCCUAAAAGUUUAUUGUCAGGGAAGCAUGCUGACAUUGGAGGCCUUAAACCAAUAAUUGGUAAGGUUCUGGUAGAUUCCAUAAGCAUAGGAUUACUCUUUAUGUGUGCAUGUUUGGAAGAAUUACAAAAUACGAAUAGUGCUCCACGUGAAGAGUCAUAUGCUAGAGCAGUUAGUUAUAAAACUUGACAUGUAAGAAUUGCCUGGGGAUCUGUUAAAACUCCAAAGGCUCAAGCUAUAUACACCUCAUAACAAUUAGAGUCUAGAGGUGGGACUGGGGCACCAGUAAUUUUUUUAAAUUUUUUAAAGUUUAUUUUUUUAGUAGGCUCUACACCCAGUGUGGGACUUUGAAAUCACAAUUCCUAGAUCAAGAGUUAGAUGUUCUUCCAACUGAGCCAGCCAAGCACCCCAGCACUGGUCAUUUUUAAAGCCCACCAGGGAGUUUCAGUGUGCAGCAAAGUUUGAGAACCAGAGUUCUAAAGGAAGUGUUUAAUUUUAUUCCAUCUCCAUAUGAAGAUAAGUUCAUUAAUAACAAUUCCCAAAGGCCCUGGUCUGUUAGUACUUUGCAGGUGUGGAAGAUGUUGGAGGUGUUGGAAGGAUACUUGUUAAUAAUAAUUUUUUAAUUUUUAUUUUGAGAGAGAGUGCACAAGUAAAUGCAUAUAUGAGCGGGGGAGGGACAGAGAGAGAAAGAGAAUCCCAAGCAGGCUCCGUGUUGUCAGUGCAAUGCCCAACGUGGGGCUCGAUCCCAUGAACUGUGAGAUCAUGACCUGAGCCAAAAUCAAGAGUCAGAUACUUAACCGACUGAGCCACCCAGGUGCCCCAAUAGCAAUAAUAAUCAAUAAAACUUAUUAAAUGCAAAAUAAAAUCCAUAAGCCUCAAAGAGUUAAUGCAGUUUCCAAAGGCACUUGACAGAAAAGAAACAGUCUAGGCACAGGGAUAAUCUGGCUUAUUGGGAGCAAAUAAAGCCAAGAUUUUAAAAUGUCUUUUAAUGUGAAACACGUAUGUGUCCCUGGGCCUGAAAACAAGCCACAACCUUCCCAGUUGUGGUGAAGGUUCCUAACAAUAGAAAUGAGUUGCGGUACAGUGUUAUUUAAACUGGAAAGUUCUGAGGAGAAUUUUGAUUUGUAGAGGAGGUCACAGAUGGGAGAAGACAAGUGCAGAGGGCAGAAGGGAGAGGCUAUUUUUCUAUGACUCUUCUGAUUACAAAGAGAGCAGAUUUAGCUGCUAGUUCUCAUUAUCUGUGUAUGCAGAAGAGAACCAAACAAGCCUAACAAAAUGAAAAUUGAUAUUUAAUCACAAAGCUAGAAGGUACCUUAUUAAAUUGACCUGCUUUGGCAUUGAGAUAAUUAGUUGUGGUUUUAAGUGUCCUUAUGGAAGCACUCUCAUUCAUGGUGGUGUGGACUUCUGUUUGCUUCUUGCUUAGGGGACAUCAGUUCUUCAAUAGAACUCUGUCAAACAUUCUGAUUCUACAUGGGCUGUGUGGUUUUUGUUUUAAAUUUGUAUUUUAAAAUAAUCAUAGAUUCAUAGGAAAUUGCAAAAAAAAAAAUGUGCAGGGAAUUCCUUAUGCGUCCUUCACCAAGUCUUCCCCUAUGGUAAUGUCAUAUAGAGUUAUGUCUCAAAACCAAGAAAUUGACAUUGGAAUACUCCACAGAGCUUAUUCUGAUUUACAAACACUCAUGUGUAUGCGUGUGUGUGUCUGUGCAUCUGUGUGGUUCUAUGCAAUGUCAUCCUGUAUAGUUUCAUGUAACACCACUGUGAUCAAGACACAGUGUUCCACGUGGGGUUUGAAGAACUGUAAAGGGAUUCAGAAUGAGUCACUUUGCUUGUGGUCCCACCAGCUUGAGUUCAGGACUUUUUAUUUUGGGGGACUGCUGCUUUGUGGGGAUAGGUAGCAUAGCUUUUGCAACAUAAAGUGACUUUUCUUAUGUGAUCAUCAUUAAAGGUGUGUUUCUCAAGGACUAUGUUUUGAGGAAGAAAAUCAUGGUCACUUUAUGUGAAGGAAGUGAAAUGAUAAAUUUAUACCCCAAAACAUAAAAUCUAUUAGUGGUCUUUAUUUUGGGGGCAAGUCCACCAAUUCUGGCAUAACAACAAUGGACUCAAUCCUAGAAAAGUUCCUCUUCUGCCAAGUUUUAGAACAUUUGAGACUUGUUCAAUAAAUGGUGCAACUUUCUAGUUCCUGAAACAGAAGACUGUCGGUCCCCCAGAGAAAUGCCCUGGUAUGUUUGAAGUGAAUAGGUAUGAUUCUACAAUAAAGAAAUGGAAAGUCACUUAAUAGCAUCUUCUAAGCAUUGUCAACAUAUUAAAAUCCGCCUCACUUAUGUUUUAUAGGUAAUUGCUGUCUCCAGAACUUAAGGAUACAUAAUCCUAUCUACUAUUUACAUGGCGUGAGGAUUUUAAUUGUCUCUGCACCUAGUAUAUCAAAACUAAGGUGCUUAGGAAUGUAAGUUCAGUGUCAUUAAACUUUUUGUUCCCAGGAUUUGCUGAUAAAUCUAUAGUCUAGCAAAACCGUUUGCAUGCGUGGUUUGUUCUAACACCUGCAACCCAGUCUUUCUUGGAAACUCUUAUUUCUGACAUUAUUUUUAGCAAGAGUUCUAGAGGAAAGAAGAGUUCUAGAGUGGGUUGGUUGGAAAACUCUGGUGGAUCCAGCAAGCUCAGCUCUGAUGAAGUAAUGAGAUAUGUGAUGAGAAGUGAAAUGUCUAAACAUCAAGAUAGUAAUUUGGCAAAAGCAGCUUUGGGGUGUUUAUAAAAAGAAUACAUCCCACUAGAUGUAACUGUCUUAGGGGUCUUAGGGUCUUAGGGAUUUAAAAGAGUAAGACUUCAGCAAAGCAUUGUCUCCUAACACUGGAUUUGAAAAAGUCAAUUUAUUUGGGAACAGAGUAGCCAAAAAACAUUAAGAGCCUUAAAUAUUCUGAAAAAGAUAAUCACAAAUCCCACAUUCAUGAAAGAGCAGAGGAGGAAGAUCAUCAUUAAUGACGAUAAAAUGAAAAACAGAAAAAAGGCCAGAUUAAUUGCAAUAAAAAAGUAAGCUUAUCUUUAUAGAAAUGUGCUCCUGAAUAUAGAUUUUAAAUGUUAGGAAAACCAAGGUUGUGUCAAUAUGUGAUCCCCCUACACACCCAUCUAAUCUUCUAAGGAGUGGAAUAACAAGGAUGUUUUGAACAACUGUGCAGGAGUUAAAAUAUUCAAGCCAAACAGUCUAUUCAGUGGACAUUGAGACAUCCCCCAAAAACAUUUGUGAAAGAUGGCAAGUUGAAUAGUUUUAGAAAUAAUGUCUUAGUCACUAAGCUUAUAGUUAGGAGGGUGUUAGACUGCAAUGUAUUGGCCUGUAAAAGACAAAAGCAGGUCAAUGUCUUUGGUAACCAACUAGCAAAUAGCAAUAGUAGUCAUGUCAUGUGCCAAGUAAACACGUCAACAUAGGAGUAUUGUUAUAAAGAGUAAAUGAGGGAAUGCAUAGAGACUUUAUAGCACAAGGCUUUUUUUUUUUAGCUGGACUUUCUUUACCUCUCAGAAACCAUUAACAUCUCAGUUUGAAGCUAAGUUCUAUGUUGUCAUCACAGGUAUUAGUGCAUUUUACUGCAUGGUUAUAGUAAAAACAAAAUUCAGAGUAUGUUUUACAUCUAUAAUGUCACACAUCCAUGCCAUUCUUAAGCUAAGACUUCUUUUUCAGCUGUGGAGCAGUACAAACUCAUGACUUUGCUAACAGUUCAUGACUGCUGUGUAAUAACAUAACAUGCACUAGGAAUGUGCUGUAUUAUUUUACCUAAACAUGUAUUAUUUUACCUAAACCUUAGAACAGUGCUGUGAGGUAGGUUACUAUUUUCUCUCUAUUUUACAGAUGGGAAAGCUGAGGCGGAGAGAGUAACUUGCGGAGGUCCAUAGCUGGUAGGUGCUUGAGCCAGGAUGAAACCACACUCCAAGGCUCAUGCACUUUACUGAAAUCUCUUCUUAAGGAAGCUAUUGGUUAAGAGGGAAGUGAGGGUGGGAGUGGGGCAGCAGAUUAGAUAACUGAGGAUCAGGUAGGGAAAAGGUUAGGGUACAGACAACAUUCUUGCCCAAAGCUAAAUUUCCAGACCAGAAGCUGUUAUAAAGGAAUAGGAGUCUGAGCCACAGAAAUCAGUAAAUGGAGGGGAUGGGGUGUUCAAAGGGAAGACUAGGACCUAAUGCAUGUUUGAGGGGUGACUGGAGAAUUUGGAAAUAGCAAAACAAAUCUGUGAGCAUGAAGGGGUGAGAUUGUAAGAAACCAAACGACCUGAAAGACUCUUUGUGAAGGAGGAGCAGAUUCUUCAGUGAGUAGGUGGAUGUGUGAACUGGUGAGGCUUGGGGUGGAUGUUCCUCUACUGUUUUCAUUGUCUCAACCUGCCCUUGACAUUUCCUCAGAUAUUCCCGUCUUCCUCUAGAGGCUAACAUCUAGGGGCUUGAGGGUUUUCUUUUUAGUAUGACUGAGUAUUCAACUCCUGCAUACUUAGGUUUGUAUAGUCUGAGAGAAUUACUUCAAUAGGAAUUGUAUACCCCUGAAAAAUACACUGCUCAUGAAUUAUCUUUUUCUACAGGUGAGCACUUAAUACAUAGUUUUCAAUCUUAGGUACCGUGAUCUACCUCCAAGAUACAGUAUGCAUUAUUAAUACUCUCAAAUAGGUAAUCAGAGCUCAUUCCUUACAGUGUGUGUUAUAUGUACUUAAAUCUGGCCAAGAAUGUCUUUAUACUUUCAUAAGAAGUGUUACAUUUGUUAUAUUUUCACAAGCUUAUGUUUUCCCUCCAGAGCCUCAAGUCCUGAAGCAAUUGUUAAGAGUUGUAGAGCACUUCUCAAAUUCAAGUGUGCAUAAUUUAAUCACCAGCCUGGUAGAACUAUAACUUACUUUAGCCAACGCGUUCUUCAUCCCUCUCUUACCCAUAACUCCCUCAUUAUUGUUUUUUAUUUCUCAGUCCUGAGAAAAUGAAAUUGCAUUAUGUGAAAUCUAUGCAAAUGCAUAAUAGAGUUUCUAUAGAAAACAUCAAAGGUUUCUUUAAAUUUCUAUUUUGUUCUGAAUGCAUACAUCAUAAAACUUGAUCUGCUUUACAGAGCAAAAACUUGAAACUACAAAGAAAAGAAUCAGAAUCAAGGAUUAUGAAAAUUUAGAUGAUAUCAUCCAGGAAACUGCUUACCAAAAUUUUAGCUACCUUUAUAAGGAUUUUUUAAAAAAUUUUUUCUAGCAGCACCUGGGUAGCACAGUCAAGUGUCCAACUCUUGGUUGCAGCUCAGGUUUGUGAGAUCGAGGCCUAUGUCAGGCUCCCCACUGACAGCACAGAGCCUGCUUGGGAUUCUCUUUCCCUCUCUCUCUGCCCCUCCCCCCUCUCUCUCACUCUCUCUCAAAAGGAGUAAACUUAAAAAAUAUUUUCUAAAGGCAUAUGUAAAAGUUAUACGAGAGAUGUCUUGUUUUAGAUUUUUUUCCCUGAUGAUUCUGUAUUUUGUUACUGAAAACAAAGACCUAUAGAUCUCCAUGUAGUAAUGGGGCUGAGGUGCAGAACCUUAUUAAAGAUUGCUUUGUUACCUCCACCCCCUAUGCUUUGCUCUUCCUUGGAUGCAAAGGAAACAGUUCAGGCACCAUCAAUAUGCCUGGGUGGUGCCUUUGUCCUCCUCACUGUGCAAAUCUGGUUUGGAGCUGGGUGUACCUCUUUGAAGCCAUGUUUGAAAUAGGGUUCCUAGUGAACUUUUUCCUGCAUGCAAUGCCAACUAACUGCCUACUUUUAAUCAUUAAUAGGGUAUUAACUCCCCAGUGGUGCCAAAAUCAUAAACCACAGUCCAGGUCCUACUGUCUACCCAUGAAAUUAGACUAGAUCAUUAGACAUAAAAAUAUGUCUACCAUUGAAAGAGUCUGAAAAUGUCUAAUUUGGGAGAGAACAGUACCCACAUAUACCUUAAUGGAAAGAAUGGCCAGAUCUUUAGCAAUGUUAUGACAGCUAAAAGAACUUAAUAAACGGCUCAGAAUGUGUUCCCAACAGAGAAAGAGAGAUACUUGGUAGAAACAGAAAAACAUAACAAAGAUAGAAUUCUUAUGUUGGCAGGCAUGUAUAUUUAUACAUUCUUCUGUGUUUAGGUCAGUGGUUAGAGAACACUUCUGGAAGGACUGUAGUACACAAAUGUUUUCAAUUUGAGCAUGUACAUUUCAUCUAAUUGGUCCCUGGGACAACGUUCACUGCCCUGGAUGUGGCGUGGCUAAAUCUUUAAAACACACGCUGAUGAAUUUCAGGUUUGGGACAGAAAAUGGCAGCUCCAUAUCAGACAAUCAUGUGAACUUGGAAUUGUUUCUCAUGAAUAUCUUCAAUAGUUAUUGAAGUGGGUUCUUCUGCCGUCUCCAAACACAGAUAACUGUUCUUGCUCAAGAUACUCCAUGCUUGCCUACUCUUAAGACUUAAGUUUGGCAGAUUCCUUCAUUUUUGAAGGGAAAAUUCUGGGAGAAAAUAUGGCAAAGAUCAUCUGAGUGCAACUGGAUAUAUCAAAGGGCACUUACAAAUAACCUUAAAGCAACCUGAAGAUUAGUUUGGGCUGAGUACUUCUGUUUUGUUUUUCCUCUCAGCUGUUUGAAGUAAGGGAAAAUUCAAAAGAAAGUUCUUUAUUCGUACCUUUUUUUGUUGAUACAUCGAGCAAUAGUUUAGGGAUUUUAUCUCCUCUGAUCCAGCCCACCCAAAAAGUCAAGGAAGUGGGGUAGUUGAAUAUAGAAACUUGUUUUAUGUAGAUGGGAAACAAGGAAGCUAAUGCAGUCACAGACAUCCCUUAUUCGGAAUGACAGAGCCUGAACUCUGUAGGACACCCCACCCCAGCUCACACACCUUUACAAAGACUUGGCUCUGACUAGCUCACAGGACAGAUGCAGUUACUGAGCUUUGCACAUGUCUCGCCUGGAUACUCAGAGUGCGUCACAAUUUGUAUUGGGCCAGUGGGGGGGGGGGGGGGGGGGGGGGGGUGGCAUUGAUUUCAUGAACUCCUGAGUCUGUGAAAGAUUGACCAUGGCCUGUACUUUCCUUAUGGAGUGGGAGAAUUUCUGUUUCUGUGUGUGAUGCUGUGUUUCACCCCGAUUUAUGCCAUUCAUUGUCUGUGAGACUAUGCACAGGCUGUGCAGAUCUCCUAUCUGGACCUCAGUUCCCUCCUUCCUAAUUUAAGCUGGGUGGGCCAGAUAUCUCCUAAGGCUGUUUCCAAGCUUCCAAGUCUGAAGUUCAGUUUCUUCUGCACGUAAGAGGCUGGGCAUCAGUUGCACUGGUCAGCUAGAGACUAGUUGGGCUGUCCUGCUGAUAAACUCCCAGCAGAUGAAUGAAUGAACAGCAACACUCACGUCCUACAGAAAGUUUGCGUUGGGCAUGCUGGAAUAGGCCUGGAAAUCCUGGGUGAUGAAGCACUCCUGAGUGCUAGGCAGGGCUUGUCAGAUGACAGCGUCCCAGCAGUGCUGGAUACUUCCUGGCCAUGGUAGUCUGUUUGCAAUCACAGAGCAGCAUGAGGUGGUCCAGCAUGCAGUCUGGCUUCGGAAGGGCUUGGGUUCCUCCAUACUCCUGACCGUCCCCGCCACCCCAAAUGCCCUACCUUCUACUUUGGCAAGUUACCUCACAGCUCCAAAGCUUGGGUGUGGUUGUUUUUCAAAUGAAGCUAAUAUCUACUUUUCAGGGUGAAAAGCUUAAAGCUAAUGUAUUUGAAAGUGUCUAGCAAACAAGUGGAGCUCGAUAAAUAGGUAACUAAAACCAGCAAUCUGUAAAAACCCCACAAAAGGUAACUUUAUCUGAAAGCCAAGUUGGGGAAAACACUAGCCUUUGUGUAGUGAGUAACAUUUCACAGAGUACUUCAGGACUUACUAUCUUUUAAUCCUCACAAUCUGGUUUUACAGACGCAGUGAUCCCAGCAAGUUCCCAGGGUCACAACACCCAGAAACAGUGAAGUGGAGAUUUAAGUUUUGCUUCCAAACUGUUGUGUUCCUUUUACAGUAUGCUACCAACAUGCUGUUACAUGUGGUUGAUAUAUUUUAUAGUUGAGAUUAAACCUCUGAUGAUUCUGAAAAGGGAAAUAAAUGAUCAGAAAUGGUACUAGUGCCUAUGUGGGGGGGGGGGUUCUCCCUAUGCCCUUUUUAUAUGACUACAGCUGUACUGACUGCCAUUUAAGACAAACCCAGGAAGAACUCAUCAGUUGCACCUCACUUUGUGAGAUCUUAAUUCCGAAACAGCUCCUGGGGGUAGCUGGAAGAUUUGAAUAUCUCUGGGAUGUCACUGUCCAGUUUCGAAAUAAUUUUAUAAAUGGGUUUCUUCCAGGAAGGAUCUGAGUCUUUCCCUGCGGAGACAGCCCUGAAGAACUCCUGUAACGUCAAGCUGGCGAUUUCCAAGAAGCAAUCCGGGACCUGCAUUCCCAAAGAGACCCACAAGAAAGAAAAGACAUGAGGCUCUGAAGCACCGACACCAUGCAGAUCUCAGUGCUGCCUGUUCCUGGGGUGGUGGGCUGAUAAGAGCAUCCCUGCUCUCCUGGCCCUCGACUUCUGCAGCCCUCAGAAUCCCCUGCUCUCUCAUCAAAUACAAACUUUAAAACGAUGGUACCCAUGAGACAGCCCUGGGAAAAAGCAUAUUAGGGACACUCCUUAUGGAGGAGAAGCUGAUUCUACUAAUGGUGCGUUUUCAGUAAAUGAGAAACGGACUCUGAUCGAAAUUAAAUCUGUGGUUCAACGAAGGUUUUUAGUAUUCUCUUCCUUAGUGCCUAAUGUGGAAAGACAUGCGCC